CGGCAUGGCGGCACGUGCGCUUCGUAGAUUGGUCCGUCACUCAUGAAUUCUUUGUAAAUAUUUAAAAAGUUUAUACAAAAAUUGAGAUGUGGAUUUGGAUACUUCUCUAUUCGUUAAUUCUAAGCUUAGAACCAAUACUAGCGGA